AUACGGGAGGCAGCAGUGGGGAAUCUUGCGCAAUGGGCGAAAGCCUGACGCAGCGACGCCGCGUGAGUGAUGAAGGCCCUCGGGUUGUAAAGCUCUGUGGAGGGGGACGAAUAAGGGCUGGCUAACAUCCAGCCUGAUGACGGUACUCCUUUAGCAAGCACCGGCUAACUCUGUGCCAGCAGCCGCGGUAAGACAGAGGGUGCAAACGUUGUUCGGAAUUACUGGGCGUAAAGCGCGUGUAGGCUGCUCGGAAAGUCGGAUGUGAAAGCCCUGGGCUUAACCUAGGAAGUGCAUUCGAAACUUCCGAGCUCGAGUCCUGGAGAGGAAGGCGGAAUUCUCGGUGUAGAGGUGAAAUUCGUAGAUAUCGAGAGGAACACCGGUGGCGAAGGCGGCCUUCUGGACAGCGACUGACGCUGAGACGCGAAAGCGUGGGGAGCAAACAGGAUUAGAUACCCCGGUAGC
rnacentral:rRNA from 1 species